rnacentral:rRNA from 1 species
UGCGCAGGUGUGAAUGUAAGUCAGUGGUGAAAUACUGCCGCUUAACGGUAGAAUUGCCAUUGAUACUGCAUUUCUUGAGUAUGGUUGAGGUAGGCGGAAUGUGUCGUGUAGCGGUGAAAUGCAUAGAUAUGACACAGAACGCCGAUUGCGAAGGCAGCUUACUAAGCCAUUACUGACACUGAGGCACGAAAGCGUGGGGAGCGAACAGGAUUAGAUACCCUGGUAGUCC